UACGGAGGGAGCUAGCGUUAUUCGGAAUUACUGGGCGUAAAGCGCACGUAGGCGCUUUGCAAGUUAGAGGUGAAAGCCUGGAGCUCAACUCCAGAACUGCCUUUAAAACUGCAUCGCUUGAAUCCAGGAGAGGUGAGUGGAAUUCCGAGUGUAGAGGUGGAAAAUUCGUAGAUAUUCGGAAGAACACCAGUGGCGAAGGCGGCUCACUGGACUGGUAUUGACGCUGAGGUGCGAAAAGCGUGGGGGAGCAAACAGG
rnacentral:rRNA from 1 species